AAACGAGGAAGUGGGACGACGUCAAAUCAUCAUGCCCCUUAUGUCCUGGGCUACACACGUACUACAAUGGCAACAACAGAGGGCAGCCAAACCGCGAGGUUGAGCGAAUCCCAAAAUGUUGUCUCAGUUCAGAUUGCAGGCUGCAACUCGCCUGCAUGAAGUCGGAAUUGCUAGUAAUGGCAGGUCAGCAUACUGCCGUGAAUACGUUCCCGGGCCUU
rnacentral:rRNA from 1 species